AGACGCUGCAAUACUGACAACAACCCAAAAGGGGAGUGAGGCUCACAGUACAGAGAACCGUCAGGUCGACCAGGAUAAAAGCUGAAGUUCUCCACGUCAGGGACCCCACACCGAGGUUCUUUCAUUACCAGGAGGGUCUCUGGGCGUGAGAGUGUUCCAUGGCUGUAGUCCUCCACAUCUGACACCCCACAGCGGGGAGUCCGCAUCACCUCCAGCGUUUGGGAGUCCGG